AUCUGAAUAGUUUAAUAUAAAAUAUUGAUUUGUGGUGUCAGUGAUGGGGUCUAUUGCUCCUUUGGAUU
rnacentral:tRNA from 1 species